rfam:Candidatus Burkholderia verschuerenii strain TZHbot4 BVERctg3, whole genome shotgun sequence.
GGAAGGGCGACCGACCGUGGGGAGGAAGCGUGGAGCGAAACUGCGGGCCGAUGAACAAGAACCGGAUAGAAGGCGCUGCCGAGCAGGGCGAGCGGGCAAGAAGCCGCGAAGCUCUUGUGGUCAACGCAAAGCAGCGUAGAUUCGGCGGUCGUGCAGGGAAGGAGUGUGUUC